AAGUUGAGUUUUCAAUUUCACUUAAAAUCACCCCCUCUUUUUUAUGCUAUAUUGCUGCAAGCACAAAUCACUAAAUUAUACAUUUUAAUACAAUUUUAUUUUAUAAUU